UGGGAGAGCGCUUGGAAUUCCCAGUAGUUUAGCAGUGUUAAUAGCCUUUUCUUUGGCCAGAUUAGGCGGUUAGUGAAUC
rfam:Prevotella salivae F0493 contig00010, whole genome shotgun sequence.